rnacentral:rRNA from 1 species
UACGGAGGGGGUUAGCGUUGUUCGGAAUUACUGGGCGUAAAGCGCACGUAGGCGGAUCAGAAAGUUGGGGGUGAAAUCCCGGGCUCAACCCGGAACCUGCCUCCAAAACUCCUGGUCUUGAGUUCGAGAGAGGUGAGUGGAAUUCCGAGUGUAGAGGGUGAAAUUCGUAGAUAUUCGGAGGAACACCAGUGGCGAAGGCGGCUCACUGGCUCGAUCACUGACGCUGAGGUGCGAAAGUGUGGGGAGCAAACAGGAUUAGAUACCCCGUACGUCC